AAAUAUCACUAUCAGCAAAGUGCUUAAAUGUAUUAACUAUUAAAGUGGAGAGUUUGAGAUUGUUCUUUCUGAGGCUCCAUUCUAUUUAUGUAGAAGUUCUCAGCUUUUGGGUCGACUAAAGUGCGUCACAGAAUACAUCUGACCAUCAUGAGAUGGUUCAUGGAACAGAAAAGAAAAAAAAAAAACACUUCUCACAUUGGAAUCUGUUUUCAUUUUUAUUCUUUGACUUUUUUUUGUGAACUGUUUUGUAAAUGGUGGGUAAUUUGAUCGGCGCCUCGGAACAAUUUUGAAACCAUUUGAGACGUUCAAAGGGAAAAUGUCUCUUUUUGCUCCGAGUCAAAGCAGAUUUUAUUCAGUGAUAUUACAGCAGCAGCAUCAGUCUGUCCGUCAGUUUGCUGCUUUGGCCAAGGAUGAAAUAUCCAAACAACUAUUAGAUGGACUGACAAGAAAUCCUGCUGACUUUGCUGAUCACCCAACAACAAUGAAAAGUAACAUAUCUGCUUAGAUACAGCAUUGGGCGUGUUUUAUUUCCCUGGUAAUGUACAGUAUACUUGAGCUCCACUAGAUUUUAAAAUAAUUGCUUUUAUUGCUCCAUAAAUUAAUUUAGAUUUAUUAGACAGAUAGCUACUACUUAUGUUAGAUUAAUUUUAAAGACACAACAUGGGUUCUAAUAUUUGAUCGUUUGGUGCACAAAAUCAGCUUGUCACGUGAUUUUACUUAUUAAAUUACAAACUUUUUUCGCAGUUUUAUUUAUCAUGAUUCUUUCAUAGCAAAUUCUAAUUUAGAAUUUUUCUUUUAAUGUAUGUGUACAGAUUUUCCACAUUGGUUUGGACCUGAUGGCUCAUAAGAAUUUAUUAUCGACAUAAAAAUUAGUACAACGGUGCCGCUGUUAAGUGUUAUUAAUGUACAGUGUGAUGUCAGUAUGUUAGAUAAGAUGCUGAACGAGGACGGUAAACAUUAAUAUUUGUCUUUAAACUGUUUUUUAGACUUGGACAGGCUUUAUUAAUCUCCAGAGGGAAAAUUUGUUGUUACAGCAGCUAGAUAUUCAUUAAGGGGGUAAACAAGAAGACAACACAGAAUAUUAGGGUCAGGUAUAAAGAGAAGGUAUCAUAAAAUAAAACAAUGGAUUAAAAUAAGAUAAUAAUAUGGAAAAUAUAAUAUAGAACGAAAACAGUAAUAUAUAACAUAGAAAAAAUAACAAAAUAUACAUAAAUAUUUAUAGUAUUUAUUUAGGUCUAUACAAAACCUGCAUGCCCCCACCCUGAUGCACCCACAGCCUUACAGUGAAAUCCACAAAAAACGACAACGACAAAAGUUUGAGUACAACGCCUGGAUGUGAUGGUUCUCCAGAGUCCAUAGCUACUGUGAUAAAAAUGCCCCACACUGGUUGCAGGACUUACUACCUCCAUGUUCACACAGGUGUUCUCCCCACAAUAAGCAAAUCAUAUGCAGAUUAAAUGGAAAUCAUUCUUUAGGCCUCCAAACUAAAACAGUGACGGAGCAGAGAAACUGUCAGUAAAACAAGAUUCUUAUUUAUAAAACGCAAGAUUAUGAGCGUAAAAAAAAACCCAUCACACGUUGUAAAACACAUCAAGAUAAUAAAGAAAACAUCAUGUCAAAGUGAAACAAAACAGUAAGACUGCAUGUUCAUGGUGGAACAGCAUCACGGUUUCAAUGCAGCGUUUUUAGUGACAGUUUUUUUUGUACUCAUUAGUGGUUAAAGGCAGUGUUUCCUUUUCAGUUCAGGUUUUCGUUUGAACAUUUAGUGUUAUUUUCAGUGACCCCGUUGUGGCUCUGCAUGUUUUCACAGUCUAAAACCUGAGAAAAUGUAUUUUCUGUCCGUGGAACUGCAGUUUCUAUAACAUGAAGGCGGAUUUUAGGUUGACAGAGUGAGAUUAGUUGAAACGUUUGGACAUCAAACAUGAAGAACACCAUGACUGUCUGAUACUGUUUCUAAACAUAAAGGCCGACAUUUCCUCUGCAGUCUGUACAAGCAGUCUGAGAAAUGCUGCACUGUUUCUUGUACUUUUCUGUCUCUUCUCCUCUCCAGCCUGUGUAACGAGUACAUUUGAUGAAUAACGCCAAUGAGUUUACACCAACCGAGCCAUAAAUGAAAGUAAUGAAGUGAGACUGAGUUCACACUGUGAUAAAAAGAAAAUGAAAAGCCUUGUAUUUUAUGCAAGAGACACCCUCAGCAGUUUUUAACAGUCGGUUGCGGUCUAAAAGCAGUAAGCAGGACACUCUAAAAAGAAGUUUCAACACACUAGCAUUGCACUGCAUUAAAUAGUGGGACAGUAUCUAUAAACUUUACUCAGUGCUGCAUGUUCAGCAGCAUUUUUGUUUCAGUAGUAAACCUACAUCAGUAAGGGGACGCUUUGAAGCCACACUGCUCCGUCCUCAGUCAGUGCACGUUUGCAAUAAAAGUCCUGCUUUCACCGUACAGAGGCAGAAAGUAUUCACUGUAAAGCUCCAACACACACACCAGGCUCUUCAUGAGGCUUUGGUUUCUCACAGCUAGAAAGGUUGUUUUUGUUGUGCAGAGAUGUAAUCCAUGUCUUUGUUCCAUCCAGGCAUGAUUACUGUUACAUUUUGUUUCCAGUUUAGAUCUAUGUCAGACAUUAGGCGUAGCACAUCGUUCCCCAAAUGAAUUACAAGUCUCACAGUGUUUCAGUUUUUCUGCUAUAAAUACUGUAAAGAUGGUUUAUUUGACUAUGCCAUGUAACAUCUGGCUUUGGGGCUGCUCUAAAUGGACUGUCUUGUUUUGAAAACCGUUGGACUUCUGCUGUUAUCGCCCCCUUCAGGAAGAACAUGUUGUCUGCAUCUGUGGUUGACAGUUCUGUGCUGUUAACCAUAGUUCAAGCUAGAGGACUGUUUGUAAGCUAGGUGUUAAAUAGCGUCUGAGCUGAAAGGCUUUCUAGUUGUUAGAGGGGGGACUAAAUAUCUUCACAACUUUUAUUUUCAACCUCCAAGUUUGUAACAAUUACAAAACACAACUAAAAGAUUUAUUUUUUGCCAUGUGGGACCAUUAAGGAGCUUCUGAUGAUAUCUAAAAUUAGAAAUGCUCCUUAAACCUUACAAUCCAUCUGUGCUUUCUGCUCCCAGAACAAGGGACCGUCAUCGUCUGCUGUUACCCAUAAAUCCAAACUUUAAGCUUAAAUUUUCCUGAACUUUCGGUUAUUUACUGGUCCUUUAAUUACUUCAGGCUUUGAACCCGUUCCCCGCGGCCGGUCGCUCUCCAUCAAAAUCUGUUAAGCCUGGUACUUACAGUCCAUGGUGUUCUGCUGACGAAAUUACUGAAACCCACUGUGUCUCUCUAAGCCUGUUUGUUUGUUGUCCCCUAAGCACAGAAGCAUCCAGGCUAUGUGUCUGACUCUCUCUCUCUCUCUAUUUUUAUCCUCCCUGUCCUCUCUUUUCACUCUAACUCUUCUGAACCAUCAGCGGUCCAGGGGCCUGUCUCUCUCUCUCUCUCCCCUCUGACUGUCACCGCCUUCUGGAUGUGGAUUUUUGUCAUCCAGUCUCAGCCUCUUCUUCUGAUUGUCUCUGCCUCUUGUGCUCAUGCCGUCCUCACCUCUCUCUCCCUCUCUGUGUUUGAUUGCUUUCUCUUACAUCAGUUUAAGGUAUCUAAACGAUGGAGAGGAGGUUGUGUGGCACCAGAAAAUUGUUAAGUGUCGUCCAGGCUCACAGUCUUUGUAGCAUUUUGUUCUAUAAUGUCCACACAGCGUACAAUAGCCUAUUGGUAGGUGUAGAAUCAACUCCCUUCUCUGUCUUAUUAGUGUUUUAAAUGUCUAUGUUGAAGACAGAUUAAACAUCUUGAGUCAAAUUUGCAAUAUUAGGCUACAGAGAUUAAUUUAGUUUAAUCUGCGUCAUGUUUUUAUAAAGAUGAUGCAAAGUUUGAUCAGUUUGCAAACUACACCUGUAAAAUAUAAUCCAUGAAGUAAAAAAAGUAACACAUGUGCUUCAGAAAUGAGCCGUUAAAUAGAAAAGGGAAACACAAAAGUAAAAUGAAAGUGUCUCAAAAAAAGUCCGAUCCUGGUUUCAUUUGACUCUGAUGCUUCAGCUGUACUGAGCAACAGUGGAACAGCCGUCAUUAUGUAACAAACAAGAUGAAAUGCGUGUCUGAGGUCUGUGUUCUUUCUCAAGCAGGAAUCAGCCUUUCGUCUAUGAGUUGUUCUGUUUUUAUUUUUCAGACAGAAUGCAUUUACUGUCUGAUAGUUAAACACAGCUACAACAGAGGUACGCUGAGGUGAAAAUACUUUACAAUAGCAGUUUAGAGUUACUGUGCAUCUCAGGUUGUUUUAAAAUUGAAAGUAAAAUCACAAUUUCAAGCAUAACCACAUUCAAACAGACAUGAGGAAGUGCCGCCUCACAUGAACCUCUGCAUUUUUUUUAAAUUUUUUUUUGCUCACAGGGAAGUGAAACCCUUCUAUGGCCACAGGGAAAUAAAUACUCUUGGUCAUUAGCAGCUGCCUCGGAGUGUCACUCACGAGAACUCAAAGGAUUUUACUGCUGACAGCGAACCGUUGACUGGAGGAGAGAGCAACCAGCCAGAGAUGGGCUUUGGGGAAGACCUGUGGUGUCCACAGGCUCAUGCAGCAGUGAUGAGGCUGCUGGACUCAGAGCUGCACCUGAUGGAGAUCAUGAAGAAGUGGAUGGGUCAGCGAGCCAAGAGCGAGCGGGAGUUUUCAGUGCAGCUGCACCACAUGACGACCAUGGUGGAGAAACUGGACCGACCUCAGCCCAGCGCAGGACAAGACUACAUCAGCCAGCUGAACAAGUCAUGGGGAGUGUUGGUCUCUCAGACGGAGUCCCUCAGUCAGGUGAUGAAAAAGCAGUCUGAGGAUCUGCUGGACGGACCCAUCAGCAAACUGACGCUGCUCAUCAGAGACAAACAGCAGCUUCGCAAAACCUACUCAGAGCAGUGGAACCUGCUGAGGCAGGAGCUCAACAAGGUCACCCAAACAGAGCUGGAGAAGCUAAGGAGCAGCUACAGGCAGGCGGCUAGAGAUGCAGCUCAAGCAAAGAAGAAGUACCAGGACACCAGUAAAGAUAAAGAGCGAGAUAAGGCCAAAGAGCGCUACGUAAAGGCCACACUGAAGCUGUACGAGCUCCAUAAUGAGUACGUCCUCUCUGUGCAAGCUGCUCAGGUUUACCAUCAGCACCACUACAGCCAGAUCCAGCCGGCCCUGCUCAGCGCUCUGCAGACCCUGCAGCAGGAGAUGGUGCUCAUACUAAAGGAGAUCCUGCAAGAAUAUUUUGACAUCUCCACCCUGGUUCAUCAUGAAGUGAAGGUGAUCCACAGGGAGAUGUCGUCGGCUCUAACAGCCAUCGAUCCUCACAGAGAGUAUGAGAGCUUCAUCCAUCAGAACAGGUCUGUGGGGGAGAUUCCUGCUUGUGCAGAUUUUGACUGCAGCCUUCUGGAGGACACUGAACAGCUACGUCCCCGAGAAAUCGAACUAAACGAGCUCACACUUGAGAAAAUCCAGCACAAAUUGACGACGAUGGAGGAGGAGCUGCUGGACCUGGCUCGCACGCUGGGUUCCCAGCAGGCCUCAGUCGAACACCUGGAGCUGGAGCUGGAAGAAGAGCAGGAAGGUGUCAAAAAGGGCCAGAGGGUCUACCAGUUCAGCAAGAGACACGCAAUGGAGGAGUGUCGGCAGCAGGUGGCCUUGUCUCAGGGCAUCAGAGCCAAGAUGGAGGCUCAGAGGCUCCUCCUGAAGGAGAAACUGGACCAGCUGGGCUCCAGAGAACCUCCCUCUGCUCUGAAACUCGAUACUGACACAGUUGUACGUUCAUCCAGCACAAACAAUGGCCACAGUCACAGUCCAUUCAAACCGGUCAUGGACGGGAUCCUGAGUGGCCUGUUUAAACCCAAAUAUGAGGUGCCUCCGGUUCUGACCCCGGUGCAGGAGGCGAAUCGUCCUCUGGGGCAGCAGGACUGGUACCACGGAGCCAUACCCAGGCUGGAGGUCCAACAGCUGCUGAAGAAUAACGGAGACUUCUUGGUGCGGAAGAGUCAAGAGAAACACGGUUAUGUGCUCUCUGUGCAGUGGGACGGAUCCUGCAAGCAUUUCCUCAUUCAGAACACAGAUAAUCUGUACCGUCUGGAUGGAGAAGGUUUCAACAGUGUCCCGCUGCUGAUCUGCCAUCUACUGUCGUCACGGCAACAUGUGACCAAGAGGUGUGAAAUUGUGCUGAAGAAACCCAUCCUGAAGGACAAGUGGGUCCUGGACCAUGAUGAUAUUGUCCUGGGUAGCCUCAUUGGACGGGGUAACUUUGGAGAGGUGUACAGUGGUCGCCUGCGCUCUGAUAACACUCCUGUAGCUGUGAAAUCCUGCAAAGAGAACCUGGCCCCGGAGCACAAGAAUAAGUUCCUGAUGGAAGCCAGGAUCCUGAAGCAUUACGACCAUCCUAACAUAGUGAAGCUGAUCGGAGUCUGCACUCAGAAACAGCCCAUCUACAUCAUCAUGGAGCUCGUCCAAGGGUCACAAUCUGAAGCCGAAGAUGUUGGUCAAAAUGACAGAAAAUGUAGCAUCUGGUAUGGAGUACCUGGAGAGCAAGAAGUGUAUCCACAGGGACCUUGCAGCCAGAAACUGUCUGGUUGCAGACAACAACGUGGUGAAGAUCAGUGACUUUGGGAUGUCCCGUCAGCAGGACGACGGCGUCUACUCAGCAGAAGGUGGCCUCAGACAGAUUCCUGUCAAAUGGACGGCACCUGAAGCCUUGAACUAUGGCCGUUAUACCACAGACAGUGACGUCUGGAGCUUUGGCAUCUUACUGUGGGAGACCUUCUCCAUGGGGAUGACGCCCUACACGAGCAUGACCAACCAGCAGACGAGAGAUGAGGUGGAGAAAG